rnacentral:rRNA from 1 species
UACGGAGGGUGCAAGCGUUAUCCGGAUUCACUGGGUUUAAAGGGUGCGUAGGUGGGUUGGUAAGUCCGUGGUGAAAUCCCCAAGCUUAACUUGGGAACUGCCGUGGAUACUAUCAAUCUUGAAUAUCGUGGAGGUAAGCGGAAUAUGUCAUGUAGCGGUGAAAUGCUUAGAUAGGACAUAGAACACCAAUUGCGUAGGCAGCUUACUACACGAUCAUUGACGCUGAGGCACGAAAGCGUGGGGAGCAAACAGG